AUUGAACGCUGGCGGCAUGCCUUACACAUGCAAGUCGAACGGCAGCACGGGUGCUUGCACCUGGUGGCGAGUGGCGAACGGGUGGGUAAUACAUCGGAACAUGUCCUGUAGUGGGGGAUAGCCCGGCGAAAGCCGGAUUAAUACCGCAUACGAUCUACGGAUGAAAGCGGGGGACCUUAGGGCCUCGCGCUAUAGGGUUGGCCGAUGGCUGAUUAGCUAGUUGGUGGGGUAAAGGCCUACCAAGGCGACGAUCAGUAGCUGGUCUGAGAGGACGACCAGCCACACUGGGACUGAGACACGGCCCAGACUCCUACGGGAGGCAGCAAUGGGGAAUUUUGGACAAUGGGCGAAAGCCUGAUCCAGCAAUGCCGCGUGUGUGAAGAAGGCCUUCGGGUUGUAAAGCACUUUUGUCCGGAAAGAAAUCCUUGGCCCUAAUACGGUCGGGGGAUGACGGUACCGGAAGAAUAAGCACCGGCUAACUACGUG
rnacentral:rRNA from 1 species